rnacentral:rRNA from 1 species
UACGGGGGGAGCAAGCGUUGUUCGGAUUUACUGGGCGUAAAGGGCGCGUAGGCGGCCACCGCAAGUCGACUGUGAAAUCUCCGGGCUUAACCCGGAAAGGUCAGCCGAUACUGCGGGGCUAGAGUGCAGAAGGGGCAACUGGAAUUCUCGGUGUAGCGGUGAAAUGCGUAGAUAUCGAGAGGAACACCUGCGGCGAAGGCGGGUUGCUGGGCUGACACUGACGCUGAUGUGCGAAAGCUAGGGGGGCGAACGGG